rnacentral:rRNA from 1 species
GGGUUGUGAGGUUAAGCGACUAAGCGUACACGGUGGAUGCCCUGGCAGUCAGAGGCGAUGAAGGACGUGCUAAUCUGCGAUAAGCGUCGGUAAGGUGAUAUGAACCGUUAUAACCGGCGAUUUCCGAAUGGGGAAACCCAGUGUGUUUCGACACACUAUCAUUAACUGAAUCCAUAGGUUAAUGAGGCGAACCGGGGGAACUGAAACAUCUAAGUACCCCGAGGAAAAGAAAUCAACCGAGAUUCCCCCAGUAGCGGCGAGCGAACGGGGAGCAGCCCAGAGCCUGAAUCAGUGUGUGUGUUAGUGGAAGCGUCUGGAAAGGCGCGCGAUACAGGGUGACAGCCCCGUACACAAAAAUGCACAUGCUGUGAGCUCGAUGAGUAGGGCGGGACACGUGGUAUCCUGUCUGAAUAUGGGGGGACCAUCCUCCAAGGCUAAAUACUCCUGACUGACCGAUAGUGAACCAGUACCGUGAGGGAAAGGCGAAAAGAACCCCGGCGAGGGGAGUGAAAAAGAACCUGAAACCGUGUACGUACAAGCAGUGGGAGCCUCUUUAUGGGGUGACUGCGUACCUUUUGUAUAAUGGGUCAGCGACUUAUAUUCUGUAGCAAGGUUAACCGAAUAGGGGAGCCGAAGGGAAACCGAGUCUUAACUGGGCGUUAAGUUGCAGGGUAUAGACCCGAAACCCGGUGAUCUAGCCAUGGGCAGGUUGAAGGUUGGGUAACACUAACUGGAGGACCGAACCGACUAAUGUUGAAAAAUUAGCGGAUGACUUGUGGCUGGGGGUGAAAGGCCAAUCAAACCGGGAGAUAGCUGGUUCUCCCCGAAAGCUAUUUAGGUAGCGCCUCGUGAAUUCAUCUCCGGGGGUAGAGCACUGUUUCGGCAAGGGGGUCAUCCCGACUUACCAACCCGAUGCAAACUGCGAAUACCGGAGAAUGUUAUCACGGGAGACACACGGCGGGUGCUAACGUCCGUCGUGAAGAGGGAAACAACCCAGACCGCCAGCUAAGGUCCCAAAGUCAUGGUUAAGUGGGAAACGAUGUGGGAAGGCCCAGACAGCCAGGAUGUUGGCUUAGAAGCAGCCAUCAUUUAAAGAAAGCGUAAUAGCUCACUGGUCGAGUCGGCCUGCGCGGAAGAUGUAACGGGGCUAAACCAUGCACCGAAGCUGCGGCAGCGACGCUGAUGCGUUGUUGGGUAGGGGAGCGUUCUGUAAGCCUGCGAAGGUGUGCUGUGAGGCAUGCUGGAGGUAUCAGAAGUGCGAAUGCUGACAUAAGUAACGAUAAAGCGGGUGAAAAGCCCGCUCGCCGGAAGACCAAGGGUUCCUGUCCAACGUUAAUCGGGGCAGGGUGAGUCGACCCCUAAGGCGAGGCCGAAAGGCGUAGUCGAUGGGAAACAGGUUAAUAUUCCUGUACUUGGUGUUACUGCGAAGGGGGGACGGAGAAGGCUAUGUUGGCCGGGCGACGGUUGUCCCGGUUUAAGCGUGUAGGCUGGUUUUCCAGGCAAAUCCGGAAAAUCAAGGCUGAGGCGUGAUGACGAGGCACUACGGUGCUGAAGCAACAAAUGCCCUGCUUCCAGGAAAAGCCUCUAAGCAUCAGGUAACAUCAAAUCGUACCCCAAACCGACACAGGUGGUCAGGUAGAGAAUACCAAGGCGCUUGAGAGAACUCGGGUGAAGGAACUAGGCAAAAUGGUGCCGUAACUUCGGGAGAAGGCACGCUGAUAUGUAGGUGAAGCGACUUGCUCGUGGAGCUGAAAUCAGUCGAAGAUACCAGCUGGCUGCAACUGUUUAUUAAAAACACAGCACUGUGCAAACACGAAAGUGGACGUAUACGGUGUGACGCCUGCCCGGUGCCGGAAGGUUAAUUGAUGGGGUUAGCGGUAACGCGAAGCUCUUGAUCGAAGCCCCGGUAAACGGCGGCCGUAACUAUAACGGUCCUAAGGUAGCGAAAUUCCUUGUCGGGUAAGUUCCGACCUGCACGAAUGGCGUAAUGAUGGCCAGGCUGUCUCCACCCGAGACUCAGUGAAAUUGAACUCGCUGUGAAGAUGCAGUGUACCCGCGGCAAGACGGAAAGACCCCGUGAACCUUUACUAUAGCUUGACACUGAACAUUGAGCCUUGAUGUGUAGGAUAGGUGGGAGGCUUUGAAGUGUGGACGCCAGUCUGCAUGGAGCCGACCUUGAAAUACCACCCUUUAAUGUUUGAUGUUCUAACGUUGACCCGUAAUCCGGGUUGCGGACAGUGUCUGGUGGGUAGUUUGACUGGGGCGGUCUCCUCCUAAAGAGUAACGGAGGAGCACGAAGGUUGGCUAAUCCUGGUCGGACAUCAGGAGGUUAGUGCAAUGGCAUAAGCCAGCUUGACUGCGAGCGUGACGGCGCGAGCAGGUGCGAAAGCAGGUCAUAGUGAUCCGGUGGUUCUGAAUGGAAGGGCCAUCGCUCAACGGAUAAAAGGUACUCCGGGGAUAACAGGCUGAUACCGCCCAAGAGUUCAUAUCGACGGCGGUGUUUGGCACCUCGAUGUCGGCUCAUCACAUCCUGGGGCUGAAGUAGGUCCCAAGGGUAUGGCUGUUCGCCAUUUAAAGUGGUACGCGAGCUGGGUUUAGAACGUCGUGAGACAGUUCGGUCCCUAUCUGCCGUGGGCGCUGGAGAACUGAGGGGGGCUGCUCCUAGUACGAGAGGACCGGAGUGGACGCAUCACUGGUGUUCGGGUUGUCAUGCCAAUGGCACUGCCCGGUAGCUAAAUGCGGAAGAGAUAAGUGCUGAAAGCAUCUAAGCACGAAACUUGCCCCGAGAUGAGUUCUCCCUGACUCCUUGAGAGUCCUGAAGGAACGUUGAAGACGACGACGUUGAUAGGCCGGGUGUGUAAGCGCAGCGAUGCGUUGAGCUAACCGGUACUAAUGAACCGUGAGGCUUAACCUUACAACGCCGAAG